AGCUGUGGGACACUCUGAUCAUUGUAUGAUUCACCUAGUACCUGCUUACAGACAAAGACUUAAAACCAUGAAACCAACAAUUAAAUCACUGAAGACAUGGACUGAGGAGGCAAAGCUAAAGCUACAGACUUGCCUUGACUGCACUGAUUGGAAUAUUUUCACAG